UACGUAGGUGGCAAGCGUUAUCCGGAUUUACUGGGUGUAAAGGGCGUGUAGGCGGGACUGCAAGUCAGAUGUGAAAACCAUGGGCUCAACCUGUGGCCUGCAUUUGAAACUGUCGGUCUUGAGUAUCGGAGAGGCAGGCGGAAUUCCUAGUGUAGCGGUGAAAUGCGUAGAUAUUAGGAGGAACACCAGUGGCGAAGGCGGCUUACUGGACUGUAACUGACGUUGAGGCUCGAAAGCGUGGGGAGCAAACAGG
rnacentral:rRNA from 1 species